AAAAUGGGUUUGUUUUAUCGACGCAUUCACUGCGGGUCAUGUGUUCUCUAAAGGAAGCAAAUCGUUUACUUCUCUCAAAAGAAUAUCAGACAUUCUUGAGUGACAGCAGAGGCAGCAGGUGUACUUUCUGUGAUGGAGACUGGGGCUACUUUUACGUUUGUCGCACGUGUAAUGAAAAGUUUUGUCCAUUUUGUCAUCUACGUCACAACUUUACACCAAGAUUUACGUUACACGUGAUUGACUGUGUCAUAAACAAGUCGAAAAGAACUGAUUUAAAGCACAAUUGAUCAGUUGAUUAUAAUAAGUAUUGAAUCAGCUGGUAAUUUUGCAUUACGUUACAUUAUAAUACGGCAAGGGCUGUUUAAAGAUGCAUGUGUUUGAAUGUCAGAAUCUCGAUUUUUAUUUGAAUGUAUGUUUGGCUAGAUUUACUCUGAAGUGUUGUUAAUUAAAAAAGUUCUGUUUUUGCUAAUUAAACUUUUUGGUUGAAAGAUGG